AUUGAACGCUGGCGGCAUGCUUUACACAUGCAAGUCGAACGGCAGCACGAAAGAGCUUGCUCUUUUGGUGGCGAGUGGCGAACGGGUGAGUAAUGCAUCGGAACGUACCGAGUAAUGGGGGAUAACUGUCCGAAAGGAUAGCUAAUAACGCAUACGCUUUGAGAAGGAAAGUGGGGGCUCUUCGGACCUCACGUUAUUCGAGCGGCCGAUGUCUGAUUAGCUAGUUGGUGGGGUAAAGGCCUACCAAGGCGACGAUCAGUAGCGGGUCUGAGAGGAUGAUCCGCCACACUGGGACUGAGACACGGCCCAGACUCCUACGGGAGGCAGCAGUGGGGAAUUUUGGACAAUGGGCGCAAGCCUGAUCCAGCCAUGCCGCGUGUCUGAAGAAGGCCUUCGGGUUGUAAAGGACUUUUGUUAGGGAAGAAAAGGAUAGUGUUAAUACCAUUAUCUGCUGACGGUACCUAAAGAAUAAGCACCGGCUAACUACGUGCCAGCAGCCGCGGUAAUACGUAGGGUGCGAGCGUUAAUCGGAAUUACUGGGCGUAAAGCGAGCGCAGACGGUUUAUUAAGCAAGAUGUGAAAUCCCCGAGCUUAACUUGGGAACUGCGUUUUGAACUGGUAAGCUAGAGUAUGUCAGAGGGGGGUAGAAUUCCACGUGUAGCAGUGAAAUGCGUAGAGAUGUGGAGGAAUACCGAUGGCGAAGGCAGCCCCCUGGGAUAAUACUGACGUUCAUGCUCGAAAGCGUGGGUAGCAAACAGG
rnacentral:rRNA from 1 species